rnacentral:rRNA from 1 species
AGUGAACGCUGGCGCUAGGCCUAACACAUGCAAGUCGAACGGCAGCACAGUAAGAGCUUGCUCUUACGGGUGGCGAGUGGCGGACGGGUGAGGAAUACAUCGGAAUCUACUUUUUCGUGGGGGAUAACGUAGGGAAACUUACGCUAAUACCGCAUACGACCUACGGGUGAAAGCAGGGGAUCUUCGGACCUUGCGCGAUUGAAUGAGCCGAUGUCGGAUUAGCUAGUUGGCGGGGUAAAGGCCCACCAAGGCGAUGAUCCGUAGCUGGUCUGAGAGGAUGAUCAGCCACACUGGAACUGAGACACGGUCCAGACUCCUACGGGAGGCAGCAGUGGGGAAUAUUGGACAAUGGGCGCAAGCCUGAUCCAGCCAUACCGCGUGGGUGAAGAAGGCCUUCGGGUUGUAAAGCCCUUUUGUUGGGAAAGAAAAGCAGCAGGUUAAUACCCCGCUGUUCUGACGGUACCCAAAGAAUAAGCACCGGCUAACUUCGUG